GUCCACGCCGUAAACGAUGUCUGCUAGCCGUUGGGAUCCUUGAGGUCUCGGUGGCGCAGCUAACGCGAUAAGCAGACCGCCUGGGGAGUACGGCCGCAAGGUUAAAACUCAAAUGAAUUGACGGGGGCCCGCACAAGCGGUGGAGCAUGUGGUUUAAUUCGAUGCAACGCGAAGAACCUUACCAGGUCUUGACAUCCAGCGAACUGCCCAGAGAUGGGCGGGUGCCUUCGGGAACGCUGAGACAGGUGCUGCAUGGCUGUCGU
rnacentral:rRNA from 1 species